UCAAACUUGGUCAUUUAGAGGAAGUAAAAGUCGUAACAAGGUCUCCGUAGGUGAACCUGCGGAGGGAUCAUUACUGAGUGAGCGCUCUCGGGCGCGACCUCCAACCCUUUGUAUUCCGACCAUGUUGCCUCGGGGGCGACCCGGCCUUCGGGCGUCGGGGCCCCCGGUGGACCUAUAACUCUGCAUCUUUGCGUCUGAGUAUGAUAUUGAAUCAAUCAAAACUUUCAACAACGGAUCUCUUGGUUCUGGCAUCGAUGAAGAACGCAGC
rnacentral:misc_RNA from 1 species